rnacentral:snoRNA from 1 species
AAACUCUGACUAUCCCGAACCUGAUUUGCUGAAGAAAAACUUCAUACAGAUCUGGCUUCUGAGUU